rnacentral:rRNA from 1 species
GACGAACGCUGGCGGCGUGCUUAACACAUGCAAGUCGAACGGAAAGGCCCUGCUUUUGUUGUGUGCUCGAGUGGCUAACGGGUGAGUAACACGUGUGUCACCUGCCCUUGCCUUUGGGAUCACUUCAGGAAACUGGGGCUAAUACCGGAUAGUAGCUCCUGCUGCGUGGUGUGGGUUGGAAAGUUUCGGCGGUUGGUGAUGUACUCGCGGCUUAUCAGCUUGUUGGUCGGGUAGUGGCUUACCAAGGCUGUGACGGGUAGCCGGCCUGAGAGGGUGAACGGACACAUUGGGACGGAGACACGGCCCAGACGCCGACGGGAGGCAGCAGUGGGGAAUAUUGCACAGAGGGCGGAAGCCUGAUGCAGCAACGCCGCGUGCGGGAUGACGGCCUUCGGGUGGUAAACCGCUUGCGCCUGUGACGAAGCGGGAGUGACGGUAAUGGGUAAAGAAGCACCGGCUAACUACGUG